AAAAGCAGCAAGAUUUUACUCAGAGGGCUUGGAUUUCACCAUUAAUGUCUGUACCCAUAGAUGGGCUGAGCUCCAAUCUGGGCCUCUUAAACUUGCUCUCAUGCAUUCAUCAACCGACAUUGUUGUGCAGAAGGGAUACUCAUCCCUCCUAUCCUUUACAGUUGGUGAUAUAAACAAUUCGGUAACCAAGCUAAUGGCUUUAGGGGCUGAGUUGGAUGGUCCUAUCAAAUAUGAAAUCCAUGGAAAGGUUGCUGCAUUGAGGUGUGUGGAUGGGCAUAUGUUGGGUCUUUAUGAACCCUCCUAAGACUUCUUUGAGACGACUGCUUGCAGAUUGCGACUUGUAUUACAAAGGGAAACUGGAUGCUUGACACAAGUUUUGCAUAAAGAGAAAUUUGACCUCUUUUUCAUGGAGGUAAAGCACAAGAAGAUAGAGGAGAUAGUGAUUACUCAUUAAUCUACCAAUGGUUUACAGCAAGAGACGACCCUUAAUAAAAACUUAAUAGAUUGAGAGAUAUACGGGUACAAUAUCAUUCUGAUCGAAAAAUGCAAGUUCAAUGUGAGGAGAUUGUACGUAUGAUAUGAAAAAAUUAUAUUAAAGUUUGAUUAAUUAAAGUUAGAUGA
rnacentral:misc_RNA from 1 species